rnacentral:rRNA from 1 species
AUUAUCCUCCGGCGGAACGCCCCGGUGCCUUCGGGGCCGGGCCAGGCGUCCGCCGGGGACCAAACAAACUGUAUUUGUCUCCUGUAUACCUCAGAAAUAG